UCCCUGGUAGCUCUGACGGUAAAGAGUCUGCCUGCAAUGCAGGAGACCCAGGUUCGAUCCCUGGCUCAGGAA
rnacentral:tRNA from 1 species